rfam:Felis catus isolate Cinnamon breed Abyssinian chromosome B4, whole genome shotgun sequence.
GCCUGGGUGGCUCAGUCAGUUAAGCAUCUGACUUCAGCUCAGGUCAUGCUCUCGCAGCUUGUGAGUUCGAGCCCCACAUCGGGCU